rnacentral:rRNA from 1 species
GACGAACGCUGGCGGCGUGCUUAACACACGCAAGUCGAACGGAAAGGCCCUGCUUUUGUGGGGUGCUCGAGUGGCGAACGGGUGAGUAACACGUGAGUAACCUGCCCUUGACUUUGGGAUAACUUCAGGAAACUGGGGCUAAUACCGGAUAGGAGCUCCUGCUGCAUGGUGGGGGUUGGAAAGUUUCGGCGGUUGGGGAUGGACUCGCGGCUUAUCAGCUUGUUGGUGGGGUAGUGGCUUACCAAGGCUUUGACGGGUAGCCGGCCUGAGAGGGUGACCGGCCACAUUGGGACUGAGAUACGGCCCAGACUCCUACGGGAGGCAGCAGUGGGGAAUAUUGCACAAUGGGCGGAAGCCUGAUGCAGCAACGCCGCGUGCGGGUUGACGGCCUUCGGGUUGUAAACCGCUUUCGCCUGUGACGAAGCGUGAGUGACGGUAAUGGGUAAAGAAGCACCGGCUAACUACGUG